AGCUCCAAUAGCGUAUAUUAAAGUUGCUGCAGUUAAAAAGCUCGUAGUUGGAUUUCUGGCCUGAAACAUUUUGUCGGCCGCGGUUUCGCGUGUUAGUGCAUUUUGUUCUGGCCAUCCUUCCAAUCGCUAUUUACCUUUCUUCAUUGAUUGGUAAGUGGUAUUGGAUCUUUUACUUUGAAAAAAUUAGAGUGUUUCAAGCAGGCUUUAUGCUAUGAAUACAUUAGCAUGGAAUAAUAAUUUAGGACUUCGGUUCUAUUUUGUUGGUUUCUAGGACUGAAGUAAUGAUUGAUAGGGAUAGUUGGGGGUGCUAGUAUUCAGCGGCCAGAGGUGAAAUUCUCGGAUUCGCUGAAGACUAACUUAUGCGAAAGCAUUCACCAAGGAUGUCUUCUUUA
rnacentral:rRNA from 1 species